GCCAGGCGCAGUGGUGCAUGCGUCUAGUCCCAGCUAUUCGGGAGGCUGAGAUGGGAGGAUCGCUUGAGCCCAGGAGCUCUGGGCUGUAGUGCGCUAUGCCAAUCGGGUGUCCACACUAAGUUCGGCAUCAAUAUGGUGACCUCCCAGGAGCGGGGGACCACCAGGUUGCCUAAGGAGAGGUGAAUCGGCACAGGUCAGAAAUGGAGCAGGUCAAACUCCCAUGCUGAUCAGUAGUGGGAUCACGCCUGUGAAUAGCCACUGCACUCCAGCCUGGGCAAACAUAGUGAGACCUUGCCUCU
rnacentral:SRP_RNA from 1 species